rnacentral:rRNA from 1 species
ACAUUUUUUAUUAAAUUUAAAUAAAUAAAACCUGCUCAAUGAUAAUAAUUCAAUAGCCGCAAAUUUUUUAUGUGCUAAGGUAGCAUAAUCAUUUGUUUUUUAAUUAAAAACUAGAAUGAAAGGUUAUACAUUCAAAUUUCUUUAUUAAUUUUUUAUAAAUAAUUUAUAUUAAAUAUAAAAAUAUAUUUUUAAAUAAAAAAGACGACAAGACCCUAUUAAAUUUAACUUAUAGUUUAGCUGGGGAAGCUUUUUAAAUAAAAUUUUAUAUAAUUUUUAAAAAAUAUAUUUAAUAAAAUUAAAAAUAAAACAAAUUACUAUAGGGAUAACAGCGUUAUAUUUUUUAAAAGUUCUUAUUUAAAAAAAUGAUUGCGACCUCGAUGUUGAAUUAUAUUUUCUAUAUUAAUGCAAUAAUUAUAAAAGUAGAUCUGUUCGAUCUUUAAAAUAUUACAUGAUC